UACGUAGGGACCAAGCGUUGUUCGGAUUUACUGGGCGUAAAGGGCGCGUAGGCGGCGCGGUAAGUCACUUGUGAAAUCUCUGAGCUUAACCCGGAGCGGCCAAGUGAUACUGUCGUGCUAGAGUGCGGGAAGGGGCUACUGGAAUUCCCAGUGUAGCGGUGAAAUGCGUAGAUAUUGGGAGGAACACCAGUGGCGAAGGCGGCUCGCUGGACCGGUUCUGACGCUGAGGCGCGAAAGCGUGGGGAGCAACGGG
rnacentral:rRNA from 1 species